CCUUUGACGUUAGCGGCGGACGGGUGAGUAACACGUGGGUAACCUACCUAUAAGACUGGGAUAACUUCGGGAAACCGGAGCUGAUACCGGAUAAUAUUUCGAACCGCAUGGUUCGAUAGUGAAAGGUGGUUUUGCUAUCACUUAUAGAUGGACCCGCGCCGUAUUAGCUAGUUGGUAAGGUAACGGCUUACCAAGGCGACGAUACGUAGCCGACCUGAGAGGGUGAUCGGCCACACUGGAACUGAGACACGGUCCAGACUCCUACGGGAGGCAGCAGCC
rnacentral:rRNA from 1 species